rnacentral:rRNA from 1 species
AGGAUGAACGCUGGCGGCGUGCUUAACACAUGCAAGUCGAACGAUGAAGCCGGAGCUUGCUCUGGUGGAUUAGUGGCGAACGGGUGAGUAACACGUGAGUAACCUGCCCUUGACUCUGGGAUAAGCGUUGGAAACGACGUCUAAUACCGGAUACGACGCGCGAAGGCAUCUUCUGCGCGUGGAAAGAUUUCGGUCAAGGAUGGACUCGCGGCCUAUCAGCUAGUUGGUGAGGUAAUGGCCCACCAAGGCGACGACGGGUAGCCGGCCUGAGAGGGUGACCGGCCACGACUGGGACUGGAGACACGGCCCAGACCUCCGUACGGGAGCAGCAGGUGGGAAUAGUUGCACGAUGGGCGCAAGCCUGAUGCAGCAACGCCG